rnacentral:tmRNA from 1 species
GGGGGCGACAGGCUUCGACAGGGGCUUGUAUAGAUCUUUGGAUGCACGUCGGGCUUGCUUACUAGCUCGUUAAAACAAUAAGCAAAACACAAAUGCUAAUCAAGAAUUAGCUCUUGCUGCCUAAUUAACUUUAGCUACAGCAAUGUCUUACCGGAAGUUCGCCUGAUGCGACCGGAUAAGGCAUAACUCAGUUCAGGCUAGGGCGCGUCCUCCACCUGCGGGCGCGGCUUAAAGUUAGCCGGGUAUGUUGAUGAAGAGGUCUUGUCGGCUCACCUGCUCUUCGUCAGCGAGAUAAAGUGAACCGAAUAAACGUGUAGAUUUCACUGGUCGCAACCUUUGGAUGCGGGUUCGAUUCCCGCCGCCUCCACCA